UCAUCUGGGCAUGCCUAAUCGGUCCAGUCAGCUGGGCUUACGUCUCCUUUGUGGAGAUCGCCGGAAAACUCCAUUUUCGGCGAUCUCUACUCCAUUUUCCUCCUCCCAAACUAUUAUCCUUACCCAAAAAUCAUGCAUUUUUCCAAAAAUCAACACAUGUAUAUAAAAUCAUGUUUUUUUUUUCCAAAAAUCAACAUAAAAACUUUAAAUAUGGGUCGUCUAUUUUUCUUUUUUUAUCAGUGCUACAGUAAUUUUUCUCUUUCCUUACUAUCUUCUCUUUCUUCUUUAAAUAGUAAGGGUAAAUUUGGAUUUCUCUUUAUUUUCAAUAUUUUAAACAUUUUUUUUUUUUUUU
rnacentral:lncRNA from 1 species